CACAGUUCUGGACCACCCGGAAAGAACGGCGUACCCAAGUCUGAAAUGACUUCAAUUACUUAGUCCAUCGUAAUGGUAAAUAAAGGGUUAUACUAAAUCGAACUUCUAAAGCUUUUUUGAAUUACUCCUAUCAGAUAUAUUCACUGGAUCCUAUCAGAUAUAUUCACUGGAUGACAUACUAAUGGAAUCUACCUCGUAAAAGGACGGUAGAUGUCCACUAACACAUUCGAUUUUUGACCAGUUUUGCCAGACAGGAAGAUUUCUCUAAACCUUAGGAAUUUAGAGCUUAAGCAGAAAGCUUCGUUCAAUUGCAUUUUUUAUUUUUUAAUAAGUCUGUAUUAAAUCAGGAAGUGAUACUUUUUAUCUAGGAAUUAAAUAGUGUUCAAAAUGCCAA